rnacentral:ncRNA from 12 species
CCCUGUUCCCGGAAUCGCAUUGAAAAGUGUAACCCUCCUGACUGGAGGCACUUACUUUAACUCAUUAAAUCCAAAAGUCGUUUAUGAGGGAUACCUUAUAAAUUCCUUGUCUCCGGACUACUCUUGAUUGAGGAUUGGUAGAGCUAGAGUGCUGCGUGUUAUGAUACUAAGGUAACGAUAGAGUCGGUCUCACAAGAAGGGUUUUACCCUCGCCAAAGUUAACAGUUGUGGCAUGACUGGAACCAAAGUGGUAUGCCAAAAAAAGAGAUUUCUCGUGAUGUCCAAGUGAUUGGGCUAUAAGAUUUUAUCGGAUCUUUUUCCUUAAGAGGCAGUUUACGAUAACUAUUGGUGUGUUAAGGAAAAAGCGGGUCUGCCAAUGACGCCCGGGACUAGAAAUGCGGUGAGAGUAACCAGUGUCGCUAACUGGGGCAUUCUCUCAUCAUCCUGUGACUGAGUAAGUAGCAAUAACAAUGACGUGGUAGGGGUAACGCCCCAAUGCUUUUAUGGAGAGGU